GACAGAGGUCUCAAGCGUUAGGCGGAAUCACUGGGCUUAAAGCGUGUGUAGGCGGAUCGUUAAGUGCUUUGUGAAAUCCCACGGCUCAACCGUGGAACUGCUUGGCAUACUGGCGAUCUUGAGCCAUCUAGGGGUCGCUGGAACAAACGGUGGAGCGGUGAAAUGCGUAGAUAUCGUUUGGAACGCCUAUGGUGAAAACAGGCGACUGGGGAUGUGCUGACGCUGAGACACGAAAGCUAGGGGAGCAAACAGG
rnacentral:rRNA from 1 species